GGUUCCGUGGUGUAGUGGUCAUCACGUCUGUCUAACACACAGAAGGUCCCCAGUUCGAGCCUGGGCGGAGCCA
rnacentral:tRNA from 1 species